CCGGCGACCGGCGCACGGGUGAGUAACACGUAUGCAACCUGGCCGCCAUAGGGGGAUAACCCGCGGAAACGCGGCCUAAUACCCCGUGACGCCACCGGAGGGCAUCCUCCGGUGGCCAAAGGAGCGAUCCGGUGGCGGAUGGGCAUGCGGCGCAUUAGCUAGACGGCGGGGUGACGGCCCACCGUGGCGACGAUGCGUAGGGGUUCUGAGAGGAAGGCCCCCCACACUGGGACUGAGACACGGCCCAGACUCCUACGGGAGGCAGCAG
rnacentral:rRNA from 1 species